rnacentral:rRNA from 1 species
AACGAACGCUGGCGGCAUGCCUAACACAUGCAAGUCGAACGAGACCUUCGGGUCUAGUGGCGCACGGGGGCGUAACGCGUGGGAACCUGCCCGUAGGUUCGGAAUAACUCCCCGAAAGGUGUCCUAAUACCGGAGAAUGUCAUCGGGCCAAAGAGUUAUCGCCGUUGGCUGGGCGCGGGUUGGAUUAGCUAGUUGGUAGGGUAAAAGCAUACCAUGGCGACGAUGCAGAGCUGGUCUGAGAAGAUGCUAAGCCACACUGGGAAUGAGGCACGGCCCAGACUGCGACGGAGCGGAGGGGUGGGGAGUAUUAGGCGAGGGGCGAUAACCUAGUCCAGCAAUGCGGGGUGAGUGAUGAAGGCCUUAGGGUUGUGAUGCUCUUUGACACGGGACGAUAAUGACGGUACCGGGUGAAUAAGCUCCGGCUAACUACGUG